ACGAGACGGGAUGGAAUGACCCUUCGGGGGAAUGAAAUCCUAGAAAGUGGCGAACGGGUGAGUAACGCGUGGGUAACCUGCCCUAUGGAAAGGAAUAGCCUCGGGAAACUGGGAGUAAUGCCUUAUAAUAUACGAGAGUCGCAUGGCUUUUGUAUUAAACGCUCCGGUGCCAUAGGAUGGACCCGCGUCCCAUUAGCUAGUUGGUGAGAUAACAGCCCACCAAGGCAACGAUGGGUAACCGGUCUGAGAGGGCGAACGGUCACACUGGAACUGAGACACGGUCCAGACUCCUACGGGAGGCAGCAGUGGGGAAUAUUGCGCAAUGGGGGCAACCCUGACGCAGCAAUACCGCGUGAGUGAAGAAGGUUUUCGGAUCGUAAAGCUCUGUUAUUGGGGAAGAAAAAAGACGGUACCCAAGAAGAAAGUCCCGGCUAACUACGUGCCAGCAGCCGCGGUAAUACGUAGGGGACAAGCGUUGUCCGGAUUUACUGGGCGUAAAGGGCACGCAGGCGGUUUUUUAAGUCAGAUGUGAAAGGUACCGGCUCAACCGGUGACAUGCAUUUGAAACUGAAAGACUUGAGUAUUGGAGAGGCAAGUGGAAUUCCUAGUGUAGCGGUGAAAUGCGUAGAUAUUAGGAGGAACACCGGUGGCGA
rnacentral:rRNA from 1 species